rnacentral:rRNA from 1 species
GACGAACGCUGGCGGCGUGCUUAACACAUGCAAGUCGAACGGUAAGGCCCUUCGGGGUACACGAGUGGCGAACGGGUGAGUAACACGUGGGUGAUCUGCCCUGCACUUCGGGAUAAGCCUGGGAAACUGGGUCUAAUACCGGAUAGGACCACUGCCUGCAUGGGUGGUGGGGGAAAGCUUUUGCGGUGUGGGAUGGGCCCGCGGCCUAUCAGCUUGUUGGUGGGGUGAUGGCCUACCAAGGCGACGACGGGUAGCCGGCCUGAGAGGGUGACCGGCCACACUGGGACUGAGAUACGGCCCAGACUCCUACGGGAGGCAGCAGUGGGGAAUAUUGCACAAUGGGCGCAAGCCUGAUGCAGCGACGCCGCGUGAGGGAUGACGGCCUUCGGGUUGUAAACCUCUUUCAGCAUCGGCGAAGCGCAAGUGACGGUAGGUGCAGAAGAAGGACCGGCCAACUACGUGCCAGCCGCCGCGGUAA